rnacentral:rRNA from 1 species
UACGUAGGGUGCGAGCGUUAAUCGGAAUUACUGGGCGUAAAGCGUGCGUAGGCGGUUCGUUAAGUUCGUUGUGAAAGCCCCGGGCUCAACCUGGGAAUGGCAAUGGAAACUGGCGGGCUGGAGUAUGGCAGAGGGGGGUGGAAUUCCGCGUGUAGCAGUGAAAUGCGUAGAGAUGUGGAGGAAUACCGAUGGCGAAGGCAGCCCCCCUGGGAUAACACUGACGCUCAUGCACGAAAGCGUGGGGAGCAAACAGG